rnacentral:rRNA from 1 species
UACGUAGGGGGCAAGCGUUGUCCGGAAUCAUUGGGCGUAAAGAGCGUGUAGGCGGCUCGGUAAGUCCGCUGUGAAAGUCCAGGGCUCAACCCUGGAAUGCCGGUGGAAACUGUCGAGCUCGAGUCCGGAAGAGGCGAGUGGAAUCCUGGUGUAGCGGUGAAAUGCGCAGAUAUCAGGAGGAACACCAAUGGCGAAGGCAGCUCGCUGGGACGGUACUGACGCUGAGACGCGAAAGCGUGGGGAGCAAACAGGAU